CGGAAUUACUGGGCGUAAAGAGCAAGCAGGCGGUUGUUUAAGUCAGUUAUGAAAGCCCCAGGCUAAACUUGGGGGGGCUAGCUGAUACUGAACGACUGGAGUGGAGAAGAGGGAUGCAGAAUUCCGCGUGUAGUGGUGAAAUGCGUAGAUAUGCGGAGGAAUACCAGAGGCGAAGGCGGCAUCCUGGUCUCUAACUGACGCUGAGGUGCGAAAGCAUGGGUAGCGAACGGGAUUAGAAACCCCGGUAGUCCAUGCCGUAAACGAUGUACACUAGACGUUCGCCGCAAGGUGGGUGUCGAAGCAAACGCGAUAAGUGUACCGCCUGGGGAGUACGAUCGCAAGGUUAAAACUCAAAGGAAUUGACGGGGGCCCGCACAAGCAGCGGAGCGUGUGGUUUAAUUCGAGGCUACGCGAAGAACCUUACCCGGGUUUGACAUACAAGUGGAGAGAAAUGAAAGUGGAUCGUUCUUCGGGGAGAGCUUGUCAGGUGCUGCAUGGCUGUCGUCAGCUCGUGCCGUGAGGUGUUCGGUCAAGUCCGCAAACGAGCGCAACCCUCAUCGUUAGUUACAAGUGUCUAACGAGACUGCCCGUGGUAAACGGGAGGAAGGUGGGGAUGAUGUCAAGUCAGCAUGGCCUUUAUAUCCGGGGCUACACACACGCUACAAUGGCGCAUACAAUGGGUCGCGAAGCCGCGAGGCGGAGCCAAUCCUAAAAAGUGCGUCUCAGUUCGGAUUGCAGGCUGCAACUCGCCUGCAUGAAGUCGGAGUUGCUAGUAAC
rnacentral:rRNA from 1 species